rnacentral:rRNA from 1 species
UACGUAGGGAGCAAGCGUUGUCCGGAAUCAUUGGGCGUAAAGAGCGCGUAGGCGGCCGUGUAAGUCCGCUCUGAAAGUCAAAGGCUCAACCUUUGAAAGCGGGUGGAUACUGCACGGCUAGAGUCCGGAAGAGGCGAGUGGAAUUCCUGGUGUAGCGGUGGAAUGCGCAGAUAUCAGGAGGAACACCGGUGGCGAAGGCGGGUCUCUGGGCAACAACUGACGCUGAGGAGCGAAAGCGUGGGGAGCGAACAGG